rnacentral:rRNA from 1 species
UACGAAGGGGGCUAGCGUUGUCCGGAAUCAUUGGGCGUAAAGCGCGUGUAGGCGGCCCGGUAAGUCGGUUGUGAAAGUCGGGGGCUCAACCCUCGGAUGCCGAUCGAUACUGUCGGGCUAGAGUCCGGAAGAGGCGAGUGGAAUUCCUGGUGUAGCGGUGAAAUGCGUUGAGAUCGGAAGGAACGCCCGUGGCGAAAGCGAGCUCCUGGACGUUUUCUGACGCUGAGACGCGAAAGCCAGGGGAGCGAAACGGGG